rnacentral:rRNA from 1 species
AAAUUGAAGAGUUUGAUCAUGGCUCAGAUUGAACGCUGGCGGCAGGCCUAACACAUGCAAGUCGAACGGUAACAGAAAGCAGCUUGCUGCUUUGCUGACGAGUGGCGGACGGGUGAGUAAUGUCUGGGAAACUGCCCGAUGGAGGGGGAUAACUACUGGAAACGGUAGCUAAUACCGCAUAACGUCGCAAGACCAAAGAGGGGGACCUU